UACGUAGGGUGCAAGCGUUGUCCGGAAUUAUUGGGCGUAAAGAGCUCGUAGGCGGUCUGUCGCGUCGGCUGUGAAAACCCGGGGCUCAACCCCGGGCCUGCAGUCGAUACGGGCAGACUAGAGUGCGGUAGGGGAGACUGGAAUUCCUGGUGUAGCGGUGAAAUGCGCAGAUAUCAGGAGGAACACCAAUGGCGAAGGCAGCACUCUGGGACGGUACUGACGCUGAGACGCGAAAGCGUGGGGAGCAAACAGG
rnacentral:rRNA from 1 species